GAUGAGCGCUGGCGGCGUGCCUAAUACAUGCAAGUCGAGCGAACAGACGAGGAGCUUGCUCCUCUGACGUUAGCGGCGGACGGGUGAGUAACACGUGGAUAACCUACCUAUAAGACUGGGAUAACUUCGGGAAACCGGAGCUAAUACCGGAUAAUAUAUUGAGCCGCAUGGUUCAAUAGUGAAAGACGGUUUUGCUGUCACUUAUAGAUGGAUCCGCGCCGCAUUAGCUAGUUGGUAAGGUAACGGCUUACCAAGGCAACGAUGCGUAGCCGACCUGAGAGGGUGAUCGGCCACACUGGAACUGAGACACGGUCCAGACUCCUACGGGAGGCAGCAGUAGGGAAUCUUCCGCAAUGGGCGAAAGCCUGACGGAGCAACGCCGCGUGAGUGAUGAAGGUCUUCGGAUCGUAAAACUCUGUUAUUAGGGAAGAACAAAUGUGUAAGUAACUAUGCACGUCUUGACGGUACCUAAUCAGAAAGCCACGGCUAACUACGUG
rnacentral:rRNA from 1 species